rnacentral:lncRNA from 1 species
AGCUACCCCAGAAGGCUUCCUGGAGGGAAAGCCUCCAGCAGCAGUGAUCCCCUUCCCCAUGUUCCCCCUCCCACCAGGCAGUCUGGCAGUGGAAGGUGACCUGGGCUGUUCACCAGGCCCUACGUGGGAAGAAGGACUUCCCCGUGCUGGGGGCUGGCCUGGAGCCCUCCCAGCCUCCCGCCUGCCGCUGUGCAGAAUAUACCUUCCAGGCAGAGGGCCGGCUCUGCCAGGCCACCUACGAGGGCGAGUGGUGCAGGGGCCGGCCCCACGGCAAGGGAACCCUGAAAUGGCCGGAUGGGCGGAAUCACGUGGGGAAUUUCUGCCAGGGCCUGGAGCAUGGCUUCGGCAUCCGCCUGCUGCCCCAGGCCUCUGAGGACAAGUUCGACUGUUACAAGUGUCACUGGCGAGAAGGCAGCAUGUGUGGCUACGGCAUCUGUACAGCACCGACGAGGUGUACAAGGGCUACUUCCAGGAGGGCCUGCGGCACGGAUUUGGGGUCCUUGAGAGUGGUCCGCAGGCCCCCCAGCCCUUCAGGUACACAGGCCACUGGGAGAGGGGCCAGAGGAGCGGCUAUGGCAUUGAGGAGGAUGGUGACAGGUGAGCGCCCUGCAGCCACCACUCCCAGGACGGAGGGGUGGACAGGGCCCUCACAGACCAGAUUGUUGCAGGACACAGGCUCGUGUUUGUCCCCCACUGUGUCUCUCUUAAGCCCCUCACUUCCCCUCCAGUCCCUCGGUUGCUGCGGAGGCUCAGGCUGAGCGAAUCUUGGUCACGCUGACUGCAGGGUCGCCCCCGCCCCUCACCCCUCCUCAUGGUGUUGGAGAGGCAUUUCUGACCCCCUGCUCUGUCACGUCUAAAAACUGCAGCCCUUGCUGGCUCUCUGGGCUGUGUGAUAAAGCCCUGGAUCCUUGGCCUGGCAAUCACAGCCUCGCCUGCUUCUCUGACCUCACCCCAGCUGCGUCUCCUGGGCACCCCUCCAGCCUUUCUGGACCACUGAAGUCCCCACGUAUCCAUCACAUGCUCCUACCUCCAUGGCUUUGCACACACUCCUAUUCCCCCUGUCCUUCCUGCCACCUCCACGGAGAAGCCUCCCAGAUGCCCUUCCCAGGCUGCCUCCCUCCCUCCUCCAUUCUCUAUUCCUCUUGGGGGUCCUGACCUCUCUGGCACUGUGUCUGUUGAGUGGAUUCAGGUGAUGUCACUGCCCCUUAUCUGCACUCCCUGCCGCCCCGUGCCAGCAGAGUGCCCAGGAGGUACAUGGGAAUGAGUCUGAUCCAACUCUGGCCACAUUCCUCUCCCUCCAGAGGUGAGCGCUACAUUGGCAUGUGGCAGGCUGGUCAGCG